AUGAAACACAAAACAGAAAGUCAAGAGACAGAAGCACCAUUUUCUUCAUACUGUACUCAUUCCAGCAUUCCUCCCUCUUGUCCUCUCUCUCUUCAUGAAGCCAAACACACCAGGAAUAAAAACCACACAAAAUCAACUAACCUAAAGUUCCUCAAAGCGGACAAGAGCAAAGAGUACAGCAAUCUUCCAAAGAUAGCACGAGGCACAGAAGCACGAGGCACGUAGGCUGCUCCCUUGAAGCCCGAAAGCCCUGGACUCUCGCGCUAACACUCCCUCUGGGGCUUGCUGUCCAUUCAAAACACUGCUCUUAUGUCAAAGUGAAACCAGUUAUAUGGCUGUUAUGGCUCUUAACUCAAAAUGCUCACAAGUUGGGGUGCUCUUAAGUUGAGGUUUCAUUGUAUAUGCAACAUUAACAUUUUCUUUUCUCCAAAGUAGCUCGUGGUGGCAUAGCUGGCCCCAUUCCAUCUGUAUCCUCACAACAAUACUGUGAAGUUACAACUGAUUCACACAAUUGUAACUUCAUUCAGUAUCACUGAGUGAUCUGCACGGCUGAAGGCAGAUUUGGAGUGGUUCUCCACAGUGUAGCUGAAGCCAGUAACUAGCAAGACCCUAGAUUUUACAUAACCAAUGUAGUAAACAUUGAGAUUGUGUGGCGGAGUUGUUUGAGAGUUGAACUACAACUCUGAAGAACAGGAUUCAAAUACCCUGCUCUACCAUGGGUGUCCUUGGGCAAGUCAUAUACUCUCAGCCCCAGAAAUCCCCUUAGGAGUCCCAUAAAUUGGAAAUAACUUGAAGGCACACAACAAUAAAACUUUGAUGCUUUGCAUUUUGAUUCUGUGGUCACAGAAGUAUGCUGCUGCUGCUCAGUUGUUUAAAUAUAGGCAAUAUCUAUCAUCACAGGGUGGGGCUGAGGUGUAUCUGGUUAGUAGCCAGGUGCAAUAAAUCACUAUUGACUGAGAAGUCAUGAGUUCAAAGCCCAGGUUGGAUUGAGUGCCCAACCAUUAAAUAGCCCCAGCUCGUUGUUUACCUAAGCAACCCGAAAGACAAUUGCAUCUGUCAAAUAGGAAAUUUAGGGACCGCUUAUGCGGGGAGACUAAUUUAACUAAUUUACAUCACCAUAAAAAUGUCCAGCAGUGUGUGUGCUGGAAGAUGAGGAAGUAUUCCAUCAAGGACUCAGCGUCACAGAGGAUGAUGAAGCAGCAGCUUCUCCUGUGGCCGGAAUCGAGUAUACCCUCAUGAAGUCAGAAGCUGGAAAAUGUUAAAUAGCCUCUGUGUCUCUGUCUGUGUGUGUCGUAUGUCUAAUGGCAGUGAAUGUUUGCCAUGUAUGUGUACAUUGUGAUCCGUCUUGCGUCCCCUUCAGGGUGAGAAGGGUGGAAUAUAAAUACUGUAAAUAAAUAAAUUUCUCCCACAUGUGCCAGGGAUUAAUACUCUAUUCCUCCUGGUUACUAUUCUUUCUUCUUCUUGGGAAAACAGACACUGGCACCUGAUGGCUUGUUGAUUCCCAAUUUGAGUAGCAUUGCCAUAAAAACAUGUGACAUUAUUUUAACUAUGAAAUCCUUUAGAAAGAGAAGAAUUGUUUGUUCUAAUUGUUCCUAUGAAAACUCAUAAUAGUCAUGUGCUACCACCCAAGUACUGUUUGUUAAAAAGCCAGUGAUAUAUUAAUGAUACACCCUUCAGUUCUCCCUCACCCUAGCAUAUCUCUCUCUCUAUAAUAACAUGCCAACUAAAGCAGUACUGUGCAUCCAAACAAGUGGGCCUACAGUCCAUGAAAGCUUAUGAUACAAAAAAGUUCUUAAUCUUGAAGGUGUCACAAGAGUUUUUGUUGUUUUUGCUGCAAC
ensembl:lncRNA